AACACCGAAGUUAAGCAACGUCGAGCCUGAUCAGUACCUAGAUGGGUGACCGCUUGGGAAUAGCAGGUGCUGUAAG